GUUGCAAAGUUGUGUCUGACUCCUUUGCGAUCCCAUGAACUGUAGCAUGCCAGGCUCCUCUGACCAUGGGCUUUCCCAGGAUGUCUGGCUCAGGAGCCGUGGCUGCGCGGGCGCAGGAGGGCCUAGAGGAGCUAUCCCACGUUGAAGAUCAGGAAGCGUGGCCGUGAAGAGAUACCCCUCGUCCAAGAAUUGAAGAGGACUCUUCCUCAUGGGCCUCGGUUCCUGGUGAGGACACAGAGAAGAAUCUGAGGUCUUACCCACAGCAAAAACAAGUUUAUUGAAGAAAGAACAGAAAGAACAGCCCCAGGGAGAGGUGGCUUCUCUCCAGCAAGAGAAGCACUGGAAUGAUGAGUGCUUUUCAGGUCUACUAGAUCCUUCUACUUCUCUGCUGAUGCUGCUACUAAGUCACUUCAGUCAUGUCCGACUCUGUGGGACCCCGUAGACGACAGCCCACCAAGCUUCCCCAUCCCUGGGAUUCUCCAGGCAAGAACACUGGAGUGGGUUGCCAUUUCCCUCUCCAAUGCAUGAAAGUGAAAAGUGAAAGUGAAGUCACUCAGUCGUGUCCGACCCUCAGCGACCCCAUGGACUGCAGCCUACCAGGCUCCUCCAUCCAUGGGAUUUUCCAGGCAAGAGUACUGGAGUGGGGUGCCAUUGCC
ensembl:lncRNA